CGCAGCCGCGGUAAUUCCAGCUCCAAUAGCGUAUAUUAAAGUUGUUGCAGUUAAAAAGCUCGUAGUUGAAUUUCAGGCCUGGCUGGGCGGUCCGCCUUUUGGGUGAGUACUGCCUGUGGUCGGGUCCUACCUUCUGGCGAAGCGUCAUGGCCUUAACCGGCCGUGGCGGGGAACCAGGACUUUUACUGUGAAAAAAUUAGAGUGUUCAAAAGCAGGCAGUCGCUUGGAUACAUUAGCAUGGAAUAAUGGAAUAGGACAGUGGUUCUAUUUGUUGGUUUCUAGGACCGUUGUAAUGAUUAAUAGGGAUAGUUGGGGGCAGUUAGUAGUUCAAUUGUCAGAGGUGAAAUUCUUGGAUUUAUUGAAGACUAACUACUGCGAAAGCAUUUGCCAAGGAUGUUUUCAUUAAUCAAGAACGAAAGUUAGGGGAUCGAAGACGAUCAGAUACCGUCGUAGUCUUAACCAUAAACUAUGCCGACUAGGAAUCGGGCGAUGUUGACAAAAUGACGCGCUUCGGCACCUC
rnacentral:rRNA from 1 species